rnacentral:lncRNA from 1 species
AAGGCCCUCGCCUGCGCCUACCUCUGCAAGCCCAGACGCCGCCUGCUCCAGAGGUUCCUGAGCCGAGCCCAAACGCCGCCCGCUCCAAAGGUUGAUUACUAUGAACAAAAACGCCUGAGUGUUGUAUUCCGGCCUUUGUACUUGGAGUGGAUGUGGCUUGUGAUUCACAAUCUAGUUUUAAGAUUUUUGGACUUAUUUUAUAUAAUUGCAGAUUUUAUUUUACGACAUAUUAGAUGAUGCUUUUCAAUUCAGUUUUGAUAAUACUUUUACUAUGUUUCGACAUAUUACAUAUUAGUUACAAUAUGUAAUUUUGGGAACCAAGAAAAGGAAUUUUAUGAGCUAAGUUAUGUUGGUACCUCUUGAUCUGGAAUGGUUAACAUCUUUAUUUUUGUCUGUCUCUCUUUCUUAUGCUAGAGAGAAGUGUCUUUGGGGGAUAAAUAGCAUGGCAUGAAUAAAGUGUCUUUGGGGGAUAAAAAGCAUGGCAUAAAUAAUUGUUUGGUUGACAAAAGUAAUCCAGUUCAAUCUUGGCAUACUCAAUUAUUUGUUUAUUUUGAUUUGGUGGAGAAGUCAUAUUAGAUGAUGCUUUGUUGGAGCAACUUGUUUAAUCUUAUUGAGUUCUAUUGUUGAUUGUUCUUUGUUGGAGCAGCUUGUUUAAUCUUAGUGAAUAUAUGCUCAAGUUAGUAGUUGUAGCUGCCUACACUACUCGAAUUCCCUUUGCUCUUGCUGCACUUGUACCUGCUUGGUACUCUGUACAGAAGAAUUAUUAUUAUUUUGUUAACACUAAGACUAUUGCACUCUUUGAUAAUAGCUUGCUUGUUGCAGGUUACGUACUAAUUACUAAUAACGUACCUUGUAGGCUCAUCCUGUUUGUGCAUCAGCAACAUAUAUUGAAGAGAUUAUUGAAGAGGUAAACAUUAGCAUGACUUCUCUGAUCAUUUACUUCUGUCCUACACUUUGAAUAUUGGUCUAAAUUGGUAUUUUAUUUUGCCUU